rnacentral:rRNA from 1 species
GAACUUGGCAGAGAUGCCUUGGUGCCUUCGGGAACGCUGAGACAGGUGCUGCAUGGCUGUCGUCAGCUCGUGUUGUGAAAUGUUGGGUUAAGUCCCGNAACGAGCGCAACCCUUAUCCUUUGUUGCCAGCGAUUCGGUCGGGAACUCAAAGGAGACUGCCGGUGAUAAACCGGAGGAAGGUGGGGAUGACGUCAAGUCAUCAUGGCCCUUACGAGUAGGGCUACACACGUGCUACAAUGGCGCAUACAAAGAGAAGCGACCUCGCGAGAGCAAGCGGACCUCAUAAAGUGCGUCGUAGUCCGGAUCGGAGUCUGCAACUCGACUCCGUGAAGUCGGAAUCGCUAGUAAUCGUGGAUCAGAAUGCCACGGUGAAUACGUUCCCGGGCCUUGUACACACCGCCCGUCACACCAUGGGAGUGGGUUGCAAAAGAAGUAGGUAGCUUAACCCUCGGGAGGGCGCUUACCACUUUGUGAUUCAUGACUGGGGUGAAGUCGUAACAAGGUAAGCGUAGCGAG